AUGUCACGCACCUCAUCCAGCGCCGCCACCUCCGCGGCCCCGCUGUUUCGGGAGUACCGCGUGCACCACGUCACCACCGAUGGUAUCCUUGUGCAGCUGCCCGAGACGAGGGGCUUCGGCCGCCUCACCACCGCGACUCUUGGCGAUGAUCUGCUGGCCAAGCGUCUCCUCACGAGCCUCUCGGCCCGCGAGCAGGUGAUUGCCAUGCCGAUGCGCUUGCGCGACGCGCAGGGGUACCGGCUGCUGACAGUAGAUUUGAAGGAGGGUUUUAGCGCGAUACUCACCUACCCCGAGCCUGUGCGCCGCCUCGUGCAGAGGCUCCUGCGCAAGCACAUGCUGGUGGGGCUCGGCACUACUGCCGCGGCUCGCCUCGUGCGCGGCUCUGCAAAGGGCUCAGUGCUCACUAUUCAGCCUCGCAUGACGGCUGUGGCGGCACUGGAGGACCUCACCAAGGGUGACUCCUCCGCAUCCCUCAAGUCGUUUAGCGGGGCCGCCGCUCGUGCCCAGCAGAGGCAGAAAGGCCGUGGCGACAACGGUAUCAGCAGCGACGACGAUGAGUGCCACGUAGAUCGCGCGCAAGAGAGCGGCACGCUGGGCGUGAGCACAGAGAGAAACAAGGCCACAGCCGACGGAAACAUCAUAGAGGUGCGCAUUCUCAACUACGACGUGAACGCUGACGUCGUCAAUGUGACAGCGAAGGCGAAGGUGGUGGAGGGCACGCCGGUCGACACGGCCGUGUCCGCGGCGGCGCUGGCCACGCUGCACCCUGGCGACAUCGUCUCUUGCACGGUCCUCCUCUCGUCGACCGAUGACGGGUGCGCUGUUGUUCAGAUACCUGUGCAGAGCGUCACAGUAGACCCGCACGACAGCAGCAGCGGCUGCGUGACUGUUCUCGGCUACUAUGUGUACGACUGGGACGGCAAGGGGGUGCCUGCGGCGCCGGUGGUCGGCCACACGGUGGAUCUCGUGAUCGAGUUCUGCCCUGAAAUCGCCGUUCUGCGCGACGUGGCGCCGUUCGCGAUUCUGUCGAAUCGCCUUCGUCAGUUCCACCGCCUCCCGGCGGUGCGUCACUUCGCCGAGACCACGAUCGAGGCGUCGGCUUCUGCUCUGUCCGCGGCCAACCCUACAUCUCCUGUUGCGGCGCGCGGGCUUCUGGGGUUCUUCCCGUGGCGGACCGAGUACGCGGCGAAGGCGCGGCGCGCCGAGGAAAGCGAGGACGAUGAGGACGCAGCUGAAGGUCACAGCGGCCACGGCUCAGCUCAGGAUCGGCAGCAGCGGACGCGCCGCCGCAAACUGGAGGAGGCAAUCGACGCCUACGAACGCGGCAUGGAGACGGCGGUGCCGACGAGCCCGGAGGAAUUCCAGCGCUUGCUGCUCGCAAACCCGAACAGCAGCUAUGUUUGGACGCAAUACAUGGCCUACCACGUUGGCCUGCAGCAGUACGAGGCGGCGCGUCAGGUGGCCGAGAAGGCGCUCAGCACUAUCGGUGUGCGAGAGCAGGAGGAGCUGCUGAACGUCUGGGUGGCGUACCUCAACAUCGAGAACCUGUACGGCACGGAGGAGUCGCUCUCGGCGGUGUUCCGGCGCGCGCAGCAACGGCAGCUCAACCAGCUGGUCCUCUUUGAGCGACUCGCAGAUAUCUACGCGGCGUCCCGCAAGCCUAAUCAGCUGCUUGCAUUGUGCCGCGCCAUGACGGGCAAGUUCCGCACUGAGCGCCGCACGUGGGAGCGUCUCGGCAUCGUCCUUGUCGAUCAGGGCAAGCGCGAUCAGCUGAAGCGGACCUUGAAGGACAUGGGCGAUGUGCUGAAGCGAGAUGACGCCACGCUGGCUAUUGUGCACAUUGCCAUUCAUGAGUACAAGCAAGGCAGUCCCGAGAACGGCCGCGCGCUCUUCGAAGGCUUGCUGCGCAAGGUGCCGAAGCGGUCCGAUGUCUGGUCAAUCUACACUGAUCAAGAGAUGGGGCUGCUGAACCGCAAGGACCCGACGGCGUCAACGCUUCAGGUACGGCAGAUCUUCCAGCGCACGGUUGCGAUGAACUUUUCGGCAAAGGUGAUGCAGCAGGUCCUUACGCGCUUCCUCUCAUUCGAGAAGCUGCACGGCACGCCGGCCGAUGUCGAGUCGGUGAAGAGGUUCGCGCGCACCUACGUGGAGUCCAAAAUUCAGGCGUUAACCGACUCCGUCCCCGACGCGGCGGCCGCGUGA
rnacentral:rRNA from 1 species